CACGGUAAGGAUUGACGGACUGAAGGCUCUUUCUCGAUUCCGUGGAAAGUGGUGCAUGGCCGUUUUUUGGUUGGUGGAUCGAUCCGUCUGGUUAAUUCCGUUAACGAACGAGACCUCGGCACUCCGAAUAGCGCGGCGGACGUCGCGGCCUCCGGGCCGUCUUCCGCACGAGCUUCUUAGAGGGACCGUCCCCCGCCGGGGAAGGAGGUGCGAGGCAACGACAGGUCUGUGAUGCCCUUAGAUGUUCUGGGCCGCACGCGCAUUACACUGACGCGUCCAACGGGUGACUCCCGACCCGAAGGGGCCGGGGAAUCCGCAAGGCGCGUCGUGAUGGGGAUUGAACGUUGCAAUUGUUGUUCACGAACGAGGAAUUCCUAGUAGGCGCGGGUCAUCAACCCGCGCCGAUUACGUCCCUGCCCUUUGUACACAC
rnacentral:rRNA from 1 species